rnacentral:rRNA from 1 species
GAAGCCGGAAUUGCUAGUAAUGGCAGGUCAGCAUACUGCCGUGAAUACGUUCCCGGGCCUUGUACACACCGCCCGUCACACCAUGAGAGUUGGGAAUACCCGAAGCCUGUGAGCUAACUUUUAGAGGCAGCAGUCGAAGGUAGAAUCAAUGAUUGGGGUGAAGUCGUAACAAGGUAGC